rnacentral:lncRNA from 1 species
CUCUAGCUCACUUUCUUUCAGCAGUAUACACCAAAAUAGACCAUAUCUUAGGCUAUAAAGUGUGCUUACAUAAACACAAAGGAAUUGAAAUAGUUCCCUGCCUACUAUUGGAUCAUAGAAGAUUGAAGUAGAUUUCAACACCAAAAGAAGACACAGAACCUACACAAACACAUGAAGACUAGAUAAUAUUUUAUUACAUAAACAGUGGAUCACGGAAGAAAUCAGGGAAGCAAUAAAAAAUUCCUGGAAUCAAAUAACAAUGGAAGUGCAACAUACAAAAUCCUACCGAGGAGCACAAUGUAAGCAGUUGGAAGAGGAGGAAAGUUUAUAGCUGUGAAUAAACACAUGAAAAGAAUGAGCAAUCCCGACUGACUCAUCCAGUGAUGUUUCUCAUGGUCCUAGAAAAUCAGGAACAAUCCAAAUCUGAAACUAAUGGAAGAAAAGAAAAUAAGAAGAUCAGAACAGAAAGUAAUGAAACUGAGAUUUUAGAAACAGUAGAAAGGAUCAAAAAAUCAGAGUUGGUUCUUUGAAAGAAUGAGAAGGGCCUAGGAGUUGAGGAGACCAGAGAGGGGAAGGAGGGGAAGUGGAAAGGACCGAGGUGGAACACUCCACCAUGUCAGUUUCCCCGGGGUGAACGUAUUUACUACGAAUUGCAAGCAUGCACUGAUUUAAAAGGGAUAAAUGAGAAACACAGGAGCAGGGUUUGGUGAAGCCCACAUUCCCGCUCGUUCUGCCCUCCCACCUGGCAGUUGCCUCCAUCUCCACAGAGCACGCCUCCCUCCUCCGCAGCCGUGCGUGGGUACCACAUCCAAGCCUGGACAUUCAGCUUCUCCAGCUGCUCAGGAGAGCUCUGCGCCGUCCAGUGGUGCGUGUGCGAAUUGGUCACAAUUUCCACGCCUGCGCAGAACUGGCGGGGCGGGGCACAGCACAGUAAAACCUCUAUUUGGGAAGCAAAGCCUGGAAGACCCCGGGGUCAUAGGUUUGUCUCCGUCACGGACCGUCGUGGGUGGCGCACGGAGAAGCCCUGUGGGCCUGAGGUGGGCGAGCCCGUCCUCAGAACCCGACCUUUUCCUGCAGGAGGCACGGCUGCNNNNNNNNNNNNNNNNNNNNNNNNNNNNNNNNNNNNNNNNNNNNNNNNNNNNNNNNNNNNNNNNNNNNNNNNNNNNNNNNNNNNNNNNNNNNNNNNNNNNNNNCCGUGAGCCUCUUCCGGGAGAUGCGGUGAAGCCGCAGGGAGCGAGGCCUGUCCCCGGAAAGCCACUGUUGUGGCGCCCAGAGUGGGUGGAGGUUUCUCCCGCUUCUGCCGCCCAGCCCAGGAUCAGCAGGGGGUGCCCAUCUCAUGGACCUCACAGUCGAUGGAAAACUCAGAUAAGCUGAUCCAAAGGCAUUUGUCAAGAAACAAAAGUCAGAGAACUGAAGACCAUGACAGGCGGCUGCCAGGCAGUGAUUGUGAGGUGACAAAGCUCAGUGCUAGCAGGAAAGUGGAGCUGGACCUUCAGAUGUCAGGUCAGAGUGGAAGGACACUCUGCUUCUGUAUGGCAUCCAGAGCUGGGUGAGGGGAUCCUUCAGUUUCCCACUUGUGAGUCACAGCACCUCGUUCUGCGGCUGGGGCCUGGCUCACUGUGGCCUCCUGCCACGGACAUGGCUGGGGCCGCUCCUGCCAGGCCAUUGCUCCUGCGGUAAUAAAUCAAAGGCACCUUCAGGUGUCCAGUAGCCCCUACAGAGCCUGGCUCAUCCCUCGGACUCAGCCAGGUCAUUGUUAAAUGUGAAUCCUAAGGCAGCCUCACUGCCCACCCAGUCGGGCUGCCACUGGGUGCAGCGCAAGUCCACGUGGAGACUUACUGGUGGAGUGGUCUGCUACUUACAGACACUGAGAGUGUCCUGGAAGAGAUUUUUAUGGAAGUGAGCUAUUUUUUAGGUUAAGAAGUGUGGAAUUGGGUUUCUGUGUUCUUUUCAGGAUGCCAACUGUAAGGGGGUUUCUGUCUCUGCCUCGGUGUUAGUAAAUGGAGGGGAAGACACACUGCAUGAGCUCCAGUUAGAUGACCUCCUGUGUCCAGUCUGCUGUGGCCUCCCCGGGGUGACUGCGCUGAUCUCCUCUGCUGGAAACAUUUCCACUCCCCUUUGGAAAUCAAGGGACUGCUUCUGGGGGUCCAACCUAGGGCCUGGACCCAGGGACCCCUGCCCUGCAGCUUCCAGCUUCCGGAGCCACUAGGAACAUCUUUCCGGUGGAAUACCCACUUCCAUUGUCUUUUCUAUGUCUACACCGUCCUUAACAUUCAGCUAUUCUUUAAGUAAUAACAAAUCCGCUUGUGUAGAAGAUAAGAAAGAAAUGUGCUCCUUUCACAUUUUUCUCAAAAUCCAACAGAGACAGGAGAGGUGGGUGGGAAGAGAGAGGAAGCUAAAGGAGGGGCUGGGCGCAGACACGUGUGCAGUGCGGGCACUGGGUGUGGAAAGGAACAGCUGUGGGAUGGAAAUGAGACCACAGCCAAGGAAAGGAAAUGGGUAAUCACCGAGAGGCAGUGCUGGGGAGGUCAGGGUGCUCGGGGGAAAGGAACCGAGUGCAGACCCUCCAGGUUUGAGGGGAUGCAGCUGAGGCCAGGCCCCUGGUGAUCUCCAUCUGCUACCAAUGAGAGGAGAGCUCCAAGGCGGAUGCACGGCUGGGCCGGGCUGGCCUGUGAUUGCCCUGUGGGGCUCACUCACGGCAGAGCCGAUCUCCCAUAGGUGGAGAAGUCAGUACAAGCAGAAAAGGAGACCGGCAUCAUUCUGAUGAGAGUCAGGGUGGAAAGAGUUGCUCUUCCUCCUUUCCUCUGCGAUGUAGAGAAUUUUGAAUCAGUGUUAAGUGAAACGAACCAGCUACACAAGCACAAAUGGAACCUUGUUCUUUUAAUGUGAGAAACCCAAACUAUGAAUAAAACAAAGAACAAAAUAAAACAUAGCUAAUACGAGGUACAGCGAUAAUCCUCUACAAAUGAGAAGGGGAACUACAGACAGAGGGAAGGGGAGCGAAGAGAGGGCAACGGGAAGUAAAAGAAGGUUAAGAGGAGCCCUGUGCAUGUCCGACUGCCCACGAGGGUGUGGCCUUCACAAGGCAAACCUGCAGUGAUGAACAACCCUCCAGGACAUAGCAACGCUCUCUGCAGAAGUGGAUUCCCCAAGUGCUCCUGGGAAAGGAAACGGAUCUUUAGAAACAGUCAGGGGACACACAGCUGAGGCUGUGUCUUGCAGGAGAGGGCCCAGGACAGGCCCUGAGGCUGCUCCCUGUUGCCCGGGCCUGGUGUGUACGGUGUGCUGUCAUGCGUUCUCCAAACACCUGGACUAGACGG